CUUUGCGGCACUGCGUCGCCAGGCAACGGCACGUCCGUGCGUGCGUCCAACGCCUUCCGCCAGAGUUGCUGCGCAUGCGCAGUAGAGCCAAGGGUGAUGCGGGGGGAUCGCAUGUGAGGGAGGACAACCACUGAGCCCGGAUCCUUGAAUUGUUAUUGAAGAUGUUCUGGCUCCUAUUCAAGUUAUUCCUCAUUGUUCAGCUGCAAAUGGUCAUGAAAAUACUGGGCUUCCAUGCUUUUGGGAGACAAUUCUGGUCAUCAGCUCUGAUAGUUGCCCUGUCCUUGCAGAGGGUGAAGCUGCAGAAGAGUGCUGUGAAAAGGAGCACACGGAGAAGCACAGUCCGGAGGGAAACUGUGCAGAGGCACACGAGGAAGUCGAUGAGGAUUGCAAAAAAUCUAAAGAGAUUGAGACAGCGGAUUCUGCACUAUCAGCUGUCCUGUGGCUGCAGGUUGCAUGUGGUGAAUAGAAGAGACUGCAUCCAUUGUGUGCAGCAGCAGCAGCCCCUCUCACCACCACCACGUGCACUGGGGUCACGUGCACUGCACAGGGUGAGACGUAUCUGUUUUGAGAAUCGUUGAGAUAAUGUAUAGAGACAAGAAUGGCUGUAAGCAGCAGGUCAGCGGUGAGCCCAGACUUGACAGGAUAAAACACAAAUAUCCUAAAAA